rnacentral:rRNA from 1 species
UACGUAGGGUGCAAGCGUUGUCCGGAAUUUAUUGGGCGUAAAGAGCUCGUAGGCGGUUUGUCGCGUCUGCUGUGAAAACUCAGGGCUUAACUCUGAGCUUGCAGUGGGUACGGGCAGACUAGAGUGCGGUAGGGGAGACUGGAAUUCCUGGUGUAGCGGUGAAAUGCGCAGAUAUCAGGAGGAACACCGGUGGCGAAGGCAGCACUCUGGGACGGUACUGGACGCUGAGACGCGAAAAGCGUGGGGAGCGAACAGGG